UUGACGGAAGAGAGCGAGCAC
rnacentral:miRNA from 1 species